UGGUCGUCAUUGAGAACAUCCUUUCCAUCCAAUCUCCUCGACGAAAAUCAACCGUACGAUUGUGUGCCCAACCCCGCUCGCGGAAAUCUCUCCUCCAUAUCGUACUCCUCCACCCAUAUCGAUUUCUCUCCCUCGCGAUCCAAUCUCGCCGGCGCCGCCUCUGACAGCCACCUCCCUAGCCAUCGCCUCCCACCGCAGGCCAGGCCUGCGAAUCCGAGGUGUCUCUUCUCCGCUUCCCCUCCUCUUGUUGAUCGUGAAGCACCCUACAGACGAGGGAUGCGCGAGAUCAUAUGUGCCUGGUGGCUGGUCUUGCGGGCGCUCCAAUGUCCCUUCCCGCCUCGCCCCUGAUUUCGACCCCGACAACCUCCCCCUCGCAGGGAACUAUAGCCACCUUCUUCGGCCACCGCCGGCGCUACGGGUAGAGCCCUCGCCUCCCACGCCUUACAGGUUCACGCAUGCCUUCCUGAGUUCAUAUUCUUCUGCGGUUCUGCCCUAUCGAGAUUUUUGGCGUCGUGAAAACUGUCUGGUUUGCAGGUGUAAGGCUAGCCAGGCCCCGGAGGGUACUCAUGGAUCGGCCCAGGUGGGGUUACCAAGAUGUGUGCAAUUUAAUCCUAGCGAUAGUGAUCUUCUAUGGCAAAAAUUGGGAAUGGCCUGGCUAAUUGACAUCCAUUCAUCAGCGAGUUUAUUAAAUCUCCUGAUGAAGAUGAAAGAUUCUUCUGCACGCACCCUCAAGAUAUGCCAGGUAUUUUACUAUUUAUGGAAUGCAAGCUCUCUAUUGUCUGGUUGUACAUGUCAUUACUAACUAGCAAUUGUACAUCUGGCUGUAAUUGUACAUGUGCGAAGCAGGAUGGACAUCAUCAUACUUCUUCCACGAAAUAAUAAACUUACACAACAAUAAGAACUGCAAAUUUAUCAGCUGGCAAAAAAGUGGACCCUCUAGAUCAAUAAUCUUGGAUGAGAGUCUGAGUAUUUAUCUUGUUCACCUUCAACAAUCGUGAUAGCAGCCCACUGAGAACUGACUAGGAAUUACAUCAAUAUCAUAUAAAAACAAAAUGGAGUCUAUCGAAGUGGCAAAGGCAAUCUCUCCACAAGCAUGUCUUAUCGAUGUCCACACUACUUGAAUCGUUGGAUUCUUCUCGACCCUGUAAUCCACGCACAACGUAGCCCUUUUGGUUCGACACCAACAGGCUGCAGCGCCUCUGUAACCUGCGCACUGGACCUCACGCAGGAUCAGCAGUGGGAUCGAUGCUUGCGCAUGAACGUGGCGGGGCAGUUCAGGUUAUGACGGGACGUAUCACUUGUGAUCUAUGUGCUUUCUUCUCUCUUCCCCCCAAUCCGAGUACAGGUGUGUGCUUCCUCCAGUGACAUGUUUGUUCCAGUUGGAACCUCUAUUAACCUCGGGUGCGUCCAACCUCUAUAAAUUCAUGUUCAAUUUUGAUUGUGAAUUGAGUUAGGAUUUUCACCUGGUUGGUAUGCAUCUCUAGAACUUCCGAUGAAGAAGAGGAGGAGCAUCCUAUCUUGGGCAUUCUAUUUGUACGGACAUUUGGAAGAUAAAAAUUAAUCACCAGGGUUAUGAUUACAUUUCUUAAUUUCUUAUAUUUAUGUAGCUUUGGAAUUUUCCUGCUGGUUGACAAUAUCAUGUCUAAUAGUCAAUGAUGAAGAAUUCAGGAUUGUGUUAUUAUCUCAUGCUGUUCACGGCACCAUCCUCUACUCCAAGUAGUCCAGUGUAAGUCCGUGUCCACCAUGGUUGGUUACUACUAAUUGCCUGAUGAUCAUUCUUGAUUUGGUAGUAUAUAACAGUAGAUUUCUGGAUUGUUUGAUAUGGUGGGGAAUGACGAUCUAGAGAUUGUGUUCUGUUUUUGGAGUUUUCUCCAGUGUACGGGCUGAAACUGUUCAUGGAAAAGGGGCAUAAUUAACAAGUGUAAGAUAAUGUGGCCAUGACCCCUUUCUGUUGAUUUCGCUUCAGAUGACAACCGUUUUGUCUUCUCUGUCCUGUUACACACUGGUUACUUUUUACAUCUUACCUUUGGAUUAGGCAGAGCAAUGGCAAGAUAAUGUGGUCAUUUGGGUUAUCCACUUGUUGGUGGUAAAACCAGGUGUGGUGUGACCUGCAGUGUUACUGGAAUUAAGGUGUGGCCGUGUGGGCAAAGCUAUCCUUAUUAUGGAGUUGAUCAACAACUUUGCCAAGGAUCAUGCAUGAUGAAGCAAGGUAUCUCCGGGGACAUUUGUGCCGUGAUGUUGAGCUUCGAGGAAGCCCGUCAAACAGUUCAUGCCAUUAUCCAGAGUGUCCAGGUUUCUCAACAGAGAUCUAGUCGCUACACGUACCGAGUUGUGGAAUGCUAAGGUCAACCUUCUUUUUUUUGAAUAGGAAAGGUCCCGAAGGACCAAGGGCUUCAUUCAUUACGCGGUGCAGUACAUUUUACAGAAAGACCUACGGAAAAUAAGCAAAUUACAACCUGGCCCUUACAAAUUGCACUGAGGACCCUAGAGUAAAACACAAAAACGCGAUCAGGUCCAGCUCCUUCAUCACCGCAACGAAUCUCACCGGAGUCAACCUCUACGCCGCCGGGGACGGAACCACUUGGGGUGCAGAGGUGGGAGCUAACUCCGACGAAACUUGAGAUCCUCCGAGUCGGCAUGAAUGCUUGACGGAGGUUGCAGAUGCCCAGAGGACGGCCAGUCGCCGUCACACGAGCGAGGAGGGGCCGCCCUUCGGCCAUAGAGAACGGCGGCAGUGGCGCCGUGGUAAUCCUCCGGUGGAGGGGCUGCCUUCUAGCCCUAGGAUACGGCGACAGCGGCGGCGUGAAGAUCCUCCAAGUAGAAGCCAACGAGCUUCCUUGCUGCGGAUGCAGAAGCCAACGACGAGCAGGUGGGCAGCCUUCUUCUCUUUCACCACCGUGAUGAAUAGAGAGGAGGAGACCACCGCAGCAUCGCCAGGUACCAGAUCCGCGGGGGACGGCUUUAUUUACGGAGAUCCUCAUCUCCCUCCGCCGCCACAUCUCCGGCUCCGACCGCCGGAGCUCCAUGAGGUCGAGGAAGAAGACGACGCGGCGCCAGAUCCAGCCGAUGGGAUCCGCCACCUCACUCCCGGCAUGCAUGCCAUACGCCACUAGGAACCAAGACCUAACUCUACUACUACUACUAUUUACUCCGGCGCCAUCUCGUCUCC